rnacentral:lncRNA from 1 species
GGGUUUCCUGAGGAAUCAGAUGCAGGUAUAAAAAUAAGAGAGGAGGAUUAAGGAUGACUCCAAAUUUUUCAAACUGAAAAAAUUAAGUUAUCAUUAACAAAGAUGGAGAAGACUGUGGAGCAAGUUUUGAAGGAAAGAAAUUUUAUUUUCAGAUAUGGAGUGUGAAUGUCAGUUAAAUAUUGAAACAGAGACAUGUAGAUCAGGAGCAAUGUCAGGGCUGGGGAUAUAACUUGCAGAGUUGUAUCAAAACCUGGCAGAGACACAACAAAAAAAGAAAAUUUCAGGUCAAUAUCCCUGAUGAACACCAAUGCGAAAAUCUCCAAUAAAAUACUGGCAAACUGAAUCCAGCAGCACAUCAAAAAGCUUAUCCACCACAAUCAAGUAGACCCAGCAAUCCCAUUACUGGGUAUAUACCUAAAGGAUUAUAAGUCAUUCUACUAUAAAGACACAUGCACACAUAUGUUUAUUGCAGCACUGUUCUCAAUAGCAAAGACUUGGAACUGACCCAAAUGCCCAUCAGUGAUAGACUGGAUAAAGAAAAUGUGGCAUAUAUACACCAUGGAAUACUAUGCAGCCAUAAAAAGGGGGAGUUUAUAUCCUUUGCAGGGAAA